rnacentral:rRNA from 1 species
UACGUAGGGUGCGAGCGUUGUUCGGAAUUAUUGGGCGUAAAGAGCUCGUAGGCGGUGUGUCGCGUCGGCCGUGAAAACCUGCAGCUUAACUGUGGGCUUGCGGUCGAUACGGGCAUCACUGGAGUUCGGGCAGGGGAGACUGGAAUUCCGUGGUGAUAGCGGUGAAAUGCGCAGAUAUCAGGAGGGAACACCGGUGGCGAAGGCGGGUCUCUGGGCCGUAACUGAACGCUG